rnacentral:rRNA from 1 species
AGAAUGACUCUCGGCAACGGAUAUCUAGGCUCUUGCAUCGAUGAAGAACGUAGCGAAAUGCGAUACUUGGUGUGAAUUGCAGAAUCCCGUGAACCAUCGAGUCUUUGAACGCAGGUUGCGCCCGAUGCCAUUAGGUUGAGGGCACGUCUGCCUGGGUGUCACAU